rfam:Schistosoma margrebowiei strain Zambia genome assembly, scaffold: SMRZ_contig0000216
AUCCAGCUGACGAGUCUCAAAUAGGACGAAACUCGAGUCAAAAUGGAU